GAUGAACGCUGGCGGCGUGCCUAAUACAUGCAAGUCGAGCGAACAGACGAGGAGCUUGCUCCUCUGACGUUAGCGGCGGACGGGUGAGUAACACGUGGAUAACCUACCUAUAAGACUGGGAUAACUUCGGGAAACCGGAGCUAAUACCGGAUAAUAUAUUGAACCGCAUGGUUCAAUAGUGAAAGACGGUUUUGCUGUCACUUAUAGAUGGAUCCGCGCCGCAUUAGCUAGUUGGUAAGGUAACGGCUUACCAAGGCAACGAUGCGUAGCCGACCUGAGAGGGUGAUCGGCCACACUGGAACUGAGACACGGUCCAGACUCCUACGGGAGGCAGCAGUAGGGAAUCUUCCGCAAUGGGCGAAAGCCUGACGGAGCAACGUCGCGUGAGUGAUGAAGGUCUUCGGAUCGUUAAACUCUGUUAUUAGGGAAGAACAAAUGUGUAAGUAACUAUGCACGUCUUGACGGUACCUAAUCAGAAAGCCACGGCUAACUACGUG
rnacentral:rRNA from 1 species